rnacentral:rRNA from 1 species
AGACACAUUUAGUAUUCCCGUUGGUCCUCAUUACAUGACAAACGCUCAUCGGAUAAAAGAUCACCCGUGGAUAACAGGCUUAUCUCCCCCAGGAUUUCACAGUGACUGUGUUGUUUGGCACCUCUAUGUCCGCUCAUCGCCUCCUGGGUCUGUAGUCGGUCCCAAGGGUUGUGCUGUUCGCCCAUUAAAUCGUUACGCGAGCUGGUUUCAGCACGUCGUGAGACAGUUCGGUCCCUAUCCGUCGUGGGCGUA